CCCUUAGAUGUUCUGGGCCGCACGCGUGCUACACUGAACGGUUCAAUGGGUAAGGUAGUGCGAAAGCAUGACCUAAUCUCGAAAUCCGUUCGUGCUGGGGAUAGAAGCUUGCAAUUAUCCUUCUUGAACGAGGAAUACCUUGUAAGCGUGAGUCAUCAUCUCACGCUGAAUACGUCCCUGCCCUUUGUACACACCGCCCGCCGCUCCUACCGAUUGAGUGUUCCGGUGAGGCUUUGGGAGAAUGGCCUCAACAUGAGUUUAUCGUGUUUUGCCGUUUGAACUUAGUCAAACCUUAUCACUUAGAGGAAGGAGAAGUCGUAACA
rnacentral:rRNA from 1 species